rnacentral:rRNA from 1 species
UACGGAGGGUGCGAGCGUUGUCCGGAAUCACUGGGCGUAAAGGGCGCGUAGGCGGCCUGGCAAGUCGAUGGUGAAAGCCCGAGGCUCAACUUCGGGUCGGCCACUGAUACUGCUAGGCUUGAGUCGACUAGAGGCAGAUGGAAUUCCGGGUGUAGCGGUGGAAUGCGUAGAGAUCCGGAAGAACACCGGUGGCGAAGGCGGUCUGCUGGGGUCGAACUGACGCUGAGGCGCGACAGCGUGGGGAGCGAACAGG